rnacentral:lncRNA from 1 species
AUGUUUGCACACAAUCAAAAUCGUUCAGUCCUUUUUCUUUCUUCUCGCCAUAUUGCCCCUUUUCUCUCAAAAUUGUAUUUAUAAAUUUUAGUUCUAUUUUCACCCCAUAAUAAUAAUAAAACCCUGCUCUGUUUUAAGUGUUUUAACCCUUGAUCACUGAUACCCUGUCCGACUAACGUAGGGCCCCGUAACGUAUGUCAAGGCUCUGCCUAAAUUCGUUGGGGUUCUGUCUCGUGACGUAGGGAUAAAGUAGAAUUGGGUCACUAUACUUAAUGUGAGUGCACUAUAUAUUUUAUUAAAUAACCCAGGAGUUAUACCCAAAAUAUAUCAACCAUCCUAAAGCACCCCUGACACCCUACACUUCUUAAAAUACGCCCCAUACGUGAAAACUGAACCCGAAAUAUAAUAUAGUAUUAAAACUAAAUAAAAAACAAGAAAUAGUAAGUUGAGGCGGGCCGCGUAGACCUACCCAAUCCUUACGCGGGCGGUACGAAGGUUGAUACCUGAUUCCUUUGAUUUUCUUAAGUUCAAGCGGGCCGCGUAAGCUACCCGUUAAGUUAACGUGGGCCGCGAGAGACCAAGAUAGUGGCGCAGCCCGGUGAUGACACGUGUCAUCAUCGUGGCGGGUCUAGGCGAUGAUCCGGACAAGCUAUACGUUGACCUGGAAUCAACGCGGGUCGCGUAAGCCCAGCCCAUGUGUUACGCAGGCCGCGAGAAGACCAGUUUCAGCAACUAUAUAAGAAGGCCAUCAGGUUCAACCAGAAUUCGUUCAUUCUUCGUUUCUCAAUCUCAAUUUCUGAAUAUUAGGAUUUAUACGCGGGUAUUAUACCCCCCUAAUUAGCGAAGCUCUGCCUCGUUGUAAGUAUUAUAACCCCUGGAUACGUAUUAGAUACUCUGCCCGAUUGAUCUAGGGUUCCGUAACGGCUGUCGUGGUUCUGCCCGACGUAGUCGUUGGAAUGCCGUCUCGGGUGUGACAACUGUGCUCUGUAAUCUCCGUACGAUGAAAAACAAUGUUGAUUAUUAAUAAAACAAUGUGCUUUGGUGUUAUUAU